rnacentral:rRNA from 1 species
UACGUAGGGGGCAAGCGUUGUCCGGAAUCAUUGGGCGUAAAGAGCGCGUAGGCGGUCCGGUAAGUCCGCUCUGAAAGUCCGGGGCUCAACCCCGGGAGGCGGGCGGAUACUGUCGGGCUAGAGUCCGGAAGAGGCGAGUGGAAUUCCUGGUGUAGCGGUGAAAUGCGCAGAUAUCGGGAGGAACACCUGCGGCGAAGGCGGCUUCCUGGACUGCAACUGACGCUGAGGCGCGAAAGCUAGGGGAGCAAACAGG